rnacentral:lncRNA from 10 species
CGCUUGGGUUCCCUACCCCAGUGUGGAAGCUUUGUUCUUUUGCUCUUUGCAAUAAAUCUUGCUGCUGCUCACUCUUUGGGUCUGCACUGCCUUUAUGAGCUGUAACACUCACAGCGAAGGUCUGCAUCUUCACUCCUGAGGCCAGUGAGACCACGAACUCACCUGGAGGAAUGAACAACUCCGGACGGGAGGAACAAACAACUCCAGACGCGCCACCUGAAGAGCUGUAACACUCACCACGAAGGUCUGCAGCUUCACUCCUGAAGCCAGCGAGACCAUGAACCCACCAGAAGGAAGAAACUCCAAACACAUCCGAACAUCAGAAGGAACAAACUCCGGACACACCAUCUUUAAGAACUGUAACACUCACCACAAGGGUCCACAGCUUCAUUCUUGAAGUCAAUGAGACCAAGAACCCACCAAUUCCAGAUACAAGGGGAAGGGAAUCCAGAAACCUGACGUGCCAGCAAAAGGGUAAAAGUUUCUUUUACCAGUUGGACUUUUGGCCUCUCCCUCCGUGUGCAAACCGGUAAAAGGAAUGUGCGACAACUGAAACUUAGGAUUGCAACCAGAGGGGCUCCUCUUACCUCUGCAUCAAAGCGCGGAUCCUGUAUAUAUUGAGCACUGCCAGGAGCCGUGGAGAUACAAAAUUGAGAACUGUUCAAAUUAGUAUUGGCAAGGAAAAUUUUCCUGGAGGAUGUCUGAUUUGUCGCUUGGCAAGUGAUAACUGAAAUUAUGUGGAUGGAUGCAAGCAUACUAGGGCAAGGUUUUCAAGCUGCCUUAUGUGGAACCCUGGAUUUCAUGAGAUGUUAAAUGAGUAUACUACAGCAAGAAUAAUCAUCACUCUAUUGACUUUUUAAUCUAAACUGCACUAUAUGUAAGAAAACACUAAAUGUGCACAUCGUCUUUGUUAUUAUGCAAUAAUGUCCCUGUGUAAAAUUAUGCCAUGUUGAGAAGGCAGGAAACUGCAUGGAAAGGCCAUUGGAUGCAUGAGUGAGUGGGACACAUAGACAUUAUUUAACAUCAUUAAUAUAUCUCAUCUGUAAUGAUUGCUGGCCUGUGUCUGAUAAAUUCAGCAUGUAUUUGUAAUGUUAUUCAUCCCUUAUUGCAUAUUAAACAUUAAUAAUACAUAAACUUUAUUCUCUAUGGCUCUCUGGCUGAAAAAUGGAAGUUUUAAUAAAAAGCUGAGUCUUGUAGUUCUUAGAUGGCACCUAAAUCAAAGAAGUAAAA